UCUGGUUGAUCCUGCAGAGGUUACUGCUAUCGGUGUUCGCCUAAGCAUGCGAGUCAUAUGUAGCAAUACAUGGCGUACUGCUCAGUAACACGUGGACAACCUACCCUCAGGUCGGGGAUAAACCCGGGAAACUGGGUAUAAUACCCGAUAGAUCUCGAUUGCUGGAAUGCAUCGAGCUCUAAAGCUCCGGCGCCUGAGGAUGGGUCUGCGGCCUAUCAGGUAGUAGUGGGUGUAGCGUACCUACUAGCCUACGACGGGUACGGGUUGUGAGAGCAAGAGCCCGGAGAUGGAUUCUGAGACACGAAUCCAGGCCCUACGGGGUGCAGCAGGCGCGAAAACUUUACAAUGCCGGCAACGGCGAUAAGGGGACCUCGAGUGCCAGGUUACAAAUCUGGCUGUCGUGAUGCCUAAAAAGCAUUGCAUAGCAAGGGCCGGGCAAGACCGGUGCCAGCCGCCGCGGUAACACCGGCGGCUCGAGUGGUAACCGUUGUUAUUGGGUCUAAAGGGUCUGUAGCCGGCCGGAUAAGUCUCUUGGGAAAUCCAGCAGCUCAACUGUUGGGCUUUCAGGAGAUACUGUUCGGCUCGAGGCCGGGAGAGGUGAGAGGUACUUCAGGGGUAGGGGUGAAAUCUUGUAAUCCUUGAAGGACCACCAGUGGCGAAGGCGUCUCACCAGAACGGACCUGACGGCAAGGGACGAAAGCUAGGGGCACGAACCGGAUUAGGUACCCGGGUAGUCCUAGCCGUAAACGAUACUCGCUAGGUGUCGGCCACGGUGCGACCGUUGUCGGUGCCGUAGGGAAGCCGUGAAGCGAGCCACCUGGGAAGUACGGCCGCAAGGCUGAAACUUAAAGGAAUUGGCGGGGGAGCA
rnacentral:rRNA from 1 species